AUUGAACGCUGGCGGAAUGCUUUACACAUGCAAGUCGAACGGCAGCACGGACUUCGGUCUGGUGGCGAGUGGCGAACGGGUGAGUAACAUAUCGGAACGUAUCCAAUAAUGGGGGAUAACGAGUCGAAAGAUUCGCUAAUACCGCAUAGGCCCUACGGGGGAAAGCUGGGGACCUUCGGGCCUGGCGUUAAUGGAGCGGCCGAUAUCUGAUUAGCUAGUUGGUGAGGGAAAGGCUCACCAAGGCGACGAUCAGUAGCUGGUCUGAGAGGACGACCAGCCACACUGGAACGGAGACACGGUCCAGACUCCUACGGGAGGCAGCAGUGGGGAAUUUGGACAAUGGGCGCAAGCCUGAUCCAGCCAUUCCGCGUGAGUGAAGAAGGCCUUCGGGUUGUAAAGCUCUUUCGCAAGGGAAGAAAACUUAGCCACUAACAUUGGUUGAGGUUGACGGUACCUUGAUAAGAAGCACCGGCUAACUACGUGCCAGCCGCCGCAGUAA
rnacentral:rRNA from 1 species